AGCGGCGGACGGGUGAGUAACACGUGGGUAACCUGCCCAAGAGACUGGGAUAACACCUGGAAACAGAUGCUAAUACCGGAUAACAACACUAGACGCAUGUCUAGAGCUUGAAAGAUGGUUCUGCUAUCACUCUUGGAUGGACCUGCGGUGCAUUAGCUAGUUGGUAAGGUAACGGCUUACCAAGGCAAUGAUGCAUAGCCGAGUUGAGAGACUGAUCGGCCACAUUGGGACUGAGACACGGCCCAAACUCCUACGGGAGGCAGCAGUAGGGAAUCUUCCACAAUGGACGAAAGUCUGAUGGAGCAACGCCGCGUGAGUGAAGAAGGGUUUCGGCUCGUAAAGCUCUGUUGGUAGUGAAGAAAGAUAGAGGUAGUAACUGGCCUUUAUUUGACGGUAAUUACUUAGAAAGUCACGGCUAACUACGUGCCAGCAGCCGCGGUAAUACGUAGGUGGCAAGCGUUGUCCGGAUUUAUUGGGCGUAAAGCGAGUGCAGGCGGUUCAAUAAGUCUGAUGUGAAAGCCUUCGGCUCAACCGGAGAAUUGCAUCAGAAACUGUUGAACUUGAGUGCAGAAGAGGAGAGUGGAACUCCAUGUGUAGCGGUGGAAUGCGUAGAUAUAUGGAAGAACACCAGUGGCGAAAGGCGGCUCUCUGGUCUGCAACUGACGCUGAGGCUCGAAAGCAUGGGUAGCGAACAGGAUUAGAUACCCUGGUAGUCCAUGCCGUAACGAUGAGUGCUAAGUGU
rnacentral:rRNA from 1 species